rnacentral:rRNA from 1 species
ACGAGCGCAACCCUUGUCUUUAGUUGCCAUCAUUAAGUUGGGCACUCUAGAGAGACUGCCAGGGAUAACCUGGAGGAAGGUGGGGAUGACGUCAAAUCAUCAUGCCCCUUAUGCUUAGGGCUACACACGUGCUACAAUGGGUAGUACAGAGGGUUGCAAAGCCGUAAGGUGGAGCUAAUCCCUUAAAGCUACUCUCAGUUCGGAUUGUAGGCUGAAACUCGCCUACA